rnacentral:rRNA from 1 species
GACGAACGCUGGCGGCGUGCUUAACACAUGCAAGUCGAACGGAAAGGCCUCUUUCGGGGGGUACUCGAGUGGCGAACGGGUGAGUAACACGUGAGUAACCUGCCCUUGACUUUGGGAUAACUUCAGGAGACUGGGGCUAAUACCGGAUAGGAGCUCCUGCUGCAUGGUGGGGGCUGGAAAGUUUCGGCGGUUGGGGAUGGACUGGUGGCGUAUUAGCUUGUUGGUGGGGUAGUGGCUCAGCAAGGCGACGACGGGUAGCCGGCCUGAGAGGGUGACCGGCCACACUGGAACUGAGACACGGUCCAGACUCCUACGGGAGGCAGCAGUGGGGAAUAUUGGACAAUGGGCGCAAGCCUGAUCCAGCCAUACCGCGUGGGUGAAGAAGGCCUUCGGGUUGUAAAGCCCUUUUGUUGGGAAAGAAAAGAAGCAGGUUAAUACCACGCUGUUCUGACGGUACCCAAAGAAUAAGCACCGGCUAACUUCGUG